rnacentral:lncRNA from 1 species
ACACAGACACAUCUUUUCCUGGGGGCUCACUGUCUUGCUGUGCUUUUCUUGGCAGAACGCAGAGCCUGAGCCCCGGAGCCUGUCCCUGGGUGGCCAUGUGGGCUUCGACAGCCUCCCUGACCAGCUGGUCAGCAAGUCAGUCACUCAGGGCUUCAGCUUCAACAUUCUCUGUGUGGGUAAGUGACUUGGUCAGUGGCAGAAGAUGGACGAGACUCUUUGGAGCCAGUGCUCUGUUGUGCUGGCCUCCUACGAAGCUGGGCUGAGGGGCUCCCAAGUGGAGAGAGAUCUUGGGUCCGGGAUUUAGUUUUGCCUCUGCCAGGGUCAAGAAUGGGAUUAAGAUACAGGAUCUGUCUCAGAGUUGGCACAAAGAGGAAACAGAAGUGGUCCCGUGAAAAGUGCUGUCUAAACACUAAAGAUGGGUGUUUAUCAUUAGAGAGUCACAGUCACUAGUUCACUCAUUUCUUU